AUCAUGACAGUUUUAUUUGUAAUAUCCCCAAAUGCAAGCAAUCCAAAUGCUGAACAGGUAAACAGACAAGCAGAGUGUAGAAUAUAGAAUAUACAAUGGAAUAAACAAUUAUGAACUAGGUAUACCUGCAACGAUAUAAAUGAAUCUCAGAAUAACUAUUGAGUAGGGGAAGCCAGACUGAAGGAAAGAACGGAUGUUCCUUUUUAUGGCCGCUUAGCAUUCCAUGGUGUAUAGGUACCACAUUUUCUUCAUCCAAUCCACUGCUGAUGGGCAUCUAGGUUGAUUCCAUGUCUUUGCUAUUGUAAACAACGCUUUGAUGAACAUAUGGGUGCACGUGCCUUUUUGAUAAAAUGACUUACUUGCCUUUGGGUAUAUACCUAGUAAUGGAUUGCUGGGUCGAAUAGCAGUUCUAAGUGCUUUCAGAAAUCUCCAAACUGCCUUCCACAGUGGCUGAACUAGUUUUUAUUCCCAGCAAGUGUAUAAGGGUUCCCUCUUCCCCGCAGCCUCACAAGCAUUGGUUGUUUAUUGACUUUUUCAUAAUCGCCAUUCUGACCGGUGUGAGACGUUAUCUCAUUGUGGUCAUGUCCUUCGCAGCAACAUGGAUGGCAGCCAUUGUCCUAAGGAAUUAACCCAAGAAUGGGAAACCAAAUAACGCAUGUUCUCACUUAUAAGUGGGACCUAAACAUUGAAUACACAUAGACAUAAAGAUGGGAGCAGCAGACACUGGGGACGACUAGGGAGGGAGGGAGGCAGGGAGGGAGUGGAACAGAACGUGGGCUGAAAAACUACUACUCACUACCUGGGUGACUGGAUCAUCUGUACCCCAACCUUCAGCACCCUGCAAUAUACUCAUGAAACAAACCUGCACAUGUACCCUUUAAUCUAAAAUAAAAGUUGAAAUUGUUUUUUUAAAAAAGAGCACAUAGUAUAUUAUUCCAUUUACAUAAAAUUUUAGAAAACACAAAUGAAUGUGUUGACAAAUCAGUGGUUGCCUGGAGAAGGGGGAGUGCAGAGAGGUACAUGGGGAAUAAAUUAUAAAGGGACUGGAGGAGAUGUUUGGAGGUGGUGAAUGUGUUCACUAUGUUGAUUGCGGUGAUGAUUUCAUGGACGUACACAUCUGUAGAAACGUUGGUGUGUACAUAUGUUGUAUUCUCAAAUUGUCCACUCUGAGUACGAGCAGUGGGGAUUAAGAGGAAAAUAAUAGUAGAGAACAAAAUCAGAGCUUGGCAUGGCUCUCUGCUGGCACCGUGCAGGGUGUGAUUACAUCAGAUCUGUGCAACUCAGAUCUUGGGGAGGGGUUGGGGGGUGGAAGGUGGAGGGAGGAAGGGAGAGAAAACAGAGGGCGGGAAGAAGGGAAGGAAGUGAAGAAGGGAAUGAGGGACGGAAAGAGAGAGACAGCGAAGAGAGGAGAAAGGACCUGGUCUCAUGCUUCUCCCCCUCAUCUCUCCCAGGGCACCCCUCCGACCCCCGCUGCGAGGGGUUUCCCGCGGGAGGUGGACGAAGCGUGGGCCAGGACAGGCGCCUGGCACUGGGGUUUCAGAGCCGCGAGUAGGCCCUGAAGGCCGGGAGGGACCGCCAGUCCCCACUGGAAGCCGCUUCCGUGCAGCCCGGGACAGCAUCUCUGAGGUUGGGGUGCAUCUUAACAUCAUUGUCCACAAACUGUCCUGUGCUGUCAUUUUCCCUGUGUCUGAACAAACUUGGUAGUUACACCCGUGACUUGAUUGGGUGACCUCAACCUUUGAUGUUUCAGUCAAUGAACCAUUCAGGCAUCAUUGAGAUCAUUUUCAUCUUGCUUAUUUUCCUGAACAUCUUUCUGUGAAAAUCAAACAAGUCCAAGGAUCAAACUCCCAGGUGUCAACAGCUUGGAAGGGUUCCACACACUUUUAAGAAAUUUUCUGGCCAGGCACGGUGGCUCAUGCCAGGAAUCUCAACACUUUGGGAGGCUGAGGUGGGCAGAUAGCUUGACGCCAGAAAUUCAAGACCAGCCUGGGCAACAUGGCAAAAGCCUGUCUCUGUGGAAAAUACAAAAAUUAGCCAGGCGUGGUGGUGUGCGCCUGUAAUCCCAGCUACUCAGGAGGCUGAGGCAGGAGAAUCGCUGGAACCUGGGAGGCAGAGCCUGCAGUGAGCUGAGAUCGCGCCACCGUACUCCAGACCGAGCGACAGAGCAAGACUCGGUCUCAAGAAAAGAAAAAAAAAAAAUGCAACUGAAGGAAACCUAGUGUGCAGAAAUGUUUUGAAGAAAACUUCAAAAAAAAAUUCUAUUAGUCUUAAAGAUAUGAGAAGAUAUUACAUCCAUUAAAGAAGAAUAAUUUACCAUAAAAAAUUCAAACAAUGAAAAGGGCUCUUAAAAAUUUAAAACAUGGCUGGGCACAGUGGCUCACACCUGUAAUCCCAGCACUUCGGGAGGCCGAGGCAGGCAGAUGACCUCAGGUCAGGAAUUUGAGACCAGGCUGGCCAACAGGGUGAGACCCCAUCUCUACUAAAAAUACAAAAAAUUAGCUGGGCAUGGUGGUGUGAGCCUGUAAUCUCAGCUACUUGGGAGGCUGAGGCAGGAGAAUUGCUUGAACCCAGUAGGCGGAGGUUGCAGUGAGCCGAGAAAAGAAAAAGAAAAAAGAAAUUUGUGAGAGCUGAGCAUAAGCCACACUAAAUGCACACACAGGAAAUAUUAAUACGUAUUAGUUAUGUUUUGAGGGCAUAUGUUCACAAAUACAAAACCUCUGGGGAGGCUGAGGCGGGUGGAUCAUGAGGUCUGGAGUUCAAGACUAGCCUGGCCAACACAGUGAAACCCCCUCUCUACUAAAAAUACAAAAAUUAGCUGGGCGUGGUGGCAGGUACCUGUAGUCCCAGCUACUCGGGAGGCUGAGGUGGGAGAAUUGCUUGAACUCGGGAGGCAGAGGUUACAGUGAGCCAAGAUUGUGCCACCACGCUCCAGCCUGGGUGACAGAGCAAGACUCUGCCUUUUCUUUCUCAAAAAUCCCUGGAGUCUGCCUUUGCUUCAGAAAUUAGUUUAUCCAGCUAUACUUGAUGGAAAACCCAGUGUUUCAGUAGCAGAAAGAGCUUUGUGGUGUAAGCCAUUCUAGAAUAAGUAGACAGGCUAGGGGUCUCUUCCGUGGGAUGCCAGUUAGCUGUGUCCCAAAGACAGACCUCAAAGACUCCAUCCCAGGGACACAAUGCCUCUCCCGAAGCUAGGACUCUGGAAUCAGGACACAGGUUGCUCUCUCUGGACAUAUUUCUCUAAGUAAACAAGUUGCUCUUCCUUAGAGUAGCUGUUGUGUUGCUGUAUUCCCAUCACAUUCCCAGGGGUGUGAAAUAGUAGACUCUCCAGUCUACUAGAGAUGGGGCCAUUUUCUCAGCAACACUUGCUUGUUAUAUCCUGUUAAAAAAUCUUAACGUAGAAAAAUGGGCAAAACAUAAAUGUAUAACUCCAUGAACAACUGCAAAGUGAAAACAUAUAUAGUCAAUAUACAUAUUUUAAAAAAUAAAACAUUGUGGGCGGGCACGGUGGCUCACAUCUGUAAUCCCAGCACUUUGGGAGGCCGAGGCAGGCGGAUCACCUAAGGUCGGAAGUUCGAGACCAGCCUGCCCAACAUGGAGAAACCCUAACUCUACUAAAAAUACAAAAUUAGCCGGCAUGGUGGCACAUGCCUGUAAUCCCAGCUACUCGGGAGGCUGAGGCAGGAGAAUCGCUUGAACCCGGGAGGCAGAGGUUGCGGUGAGCGAAGAUCACACCAUUGCACUCCAGCCUGGGAAACAAGAGCGAAACUCCAUCUCAAAAAAAAACAUUGCCAACACACCAAAAGCCCCAAACAGUAUCUGCUAUCAUUGCUAUCAUUACUUAAACACUGUGGUAUAAUUUUUCCAAUUAUUGAAUUUUGAUUUUUUAGUAUAUUCACAAGAUUUUGCAGCCGUCACUAUAAUUUAGAGUAUUUUUGUCCUCUGUCAAAGAACCCCCCCAUACCCAUUCGCUGCCACUUCAUACUCCCCACAUUCUGUCCCCACCCUAAAGACCUACUUUUUGUCUCCAUAGAUUUACCUUUUCUGGACACUUUAUAUAAAUGCAAUGAGUCUUUUGUGACUAGCUUCUUUAACAGCAUAAUGCUUCAAGGUUCAUCCAUGUUAUCGAAAGUAUGGAUAUGUCAUAUCUUUUUAUUGCCAAAUAACAGUCCAUUGUGUGGCUGUACCAAUAUUUUAUGUAUUCAUUCCUCAGCUGAGAGACAUUUGGCUGGUUUUCACUUUCUCGCUAUUAACAAUAAUGCAGCUCUGAACAUUUGUGUACAAUAAAAAUAAAUAGCAUCCUACAAUUAAUAUGGAAACAGCAGAAAUUUAUUUCUCAUAAUUCUGGAGGCUGAGAAGUUCCAUAUCAAGGAUCUGAUAGAUUCAAUGUCUGGUGAGGAAAUGCUUCAUAAAUGGUUCAUAAAUGGUGCUUUCUUGCUGUGUCUUCAUGGUGGAAGGGGUAAGGUCUUCCUGGGGCCUCAUUUGUUUACGUAUGUAUUCAUUUAUAUUUUUGGAGACCCAGCCUGCAUCUGGUUUCCCCUUCUUCCUUGAAUGUAAACCCUAGAAAGCUGGGCUUUCUUUUGAGAGCUUGGGAGAUUUUUGUCUCAACUCAAAGAGACUAGAGGAUGACCCAUCUAUUUUUUCAUUAGUUUUAAACUCAGCUUUUUUACUUCCUGUAGAGUUUCAGAAUUUGGCAAAAGUCUCAAGGCUCAAGCUGGUUGUCUGAAGCCUUUCAAACCCCCAGUUUUAUCACCACAUAUGAGCUCUUAGCAUAUGAAACUGCAGCUAGGACUAAAACCAGAGGAAGGCACACAGAAUCUUGACUGCUCUUCAGAAAUACAUGGCACUCCGUUAAAAUGAAGAUUUUUGCUGCUCACUCCAGAAAUAUUGAAUCAAAACGUGGAGCAGGAGACAGGCAAGGCCAGUGAAGGAGUGUGGCUCCGAUAGGAUUGACAACUACUACCUUAGAUGAUGAAUCAAGCUCAGAAGGGAUCCCUCUGGAUUUCCCUGCGCCAUGUAAGAAGUGCCUGCUUUCCCUUUGCCUUCUGCUAUGAUUGUUUCCUGAGGCCUCCCCAGUCAUGUUACCUGUACAGCCUGCAGAACUGUGAAGAAACCGAGGCAAUGAACAAAGUAAUAUACCCAAGAUCACAUUGCCAGUGAAUGGGAGAGCUGACGUUUCAAUCUACACAGAACCUGUGCUCUUAGCUAUCUAACCGCUUUACUUGGAAGUGAUGUGAGAUUAAAAAAAGAAGAAAAACAAAAUAUUUUCUUAUGCUUUCAAAAAGUUCAAAAGUAAGUUACAAGAUUUAUGCUGCAUUUUAAUCUAUGAUCUUGAUUACUCAUCAAUUGGAUUAUGUACCCACUUUUUUUUUUUUUUUUUUUUUGAGAUGGAGUCUCACUCUGUCUCCCAGGCUGGAGUGGAGUGCAGUGGUGUGAUCUUGGCUCACUGCAACCUCCACCUCUCUGGUUCAAGCAAUUCUCCCACCUCAGCCUCCCAAGUGGCUGGGGUUACAGGCCCACACCACCACGCCCAGCUAAUUUUUGUAUUUUUAGUAGAGACAGGGUUUUGCCAUGUUGGUUAGGCUGGUUUCAAUCUCCUGACCUCAGGUGAUCCUCCCACCUCAGCCUCCCAAAGUGCUAGGAUUCCAGUCAUAAGCCACUGUGCCCGGCCUGUAUUCACUAUUUAUUUUUAUUUUUUGAAAUUUUUGUGGGUACCCAGUAGGUGUAUACAUAUAUAUAUUUUAACUCUUGAAAAUUUUUGAAUAUUCACUAUUUUAUAACUCCAUACAAGUAUUUUAAACUAAUUUUCUGGUUUUUCUAGUUAUUAAUUUUUUUACCUUAACUCAAAUAAAGAAUAAUUUAAAAGGUGAAGUGUUACAAGUUAAGAGACUCAAGUUCUAGUCUUGGCUUUGCCAUGAAAUUACUGUGUGAAUUUGGUCUAGGCUUUGGUUUCCUCAUGUUUGUUAGCAUGUUCCUCUCUUUAGCUAAAACAGUUCAGUGUAUGUAAAGUGUCAUUCUAUGAACUGAAGAGAUCCUGCCUGUUGAGUUGCAGAUGGCUGGGCAGGUUGCCAAGGGGCUGGUUUCUCCAUGCUGGCUUUUGUGUCUGCAUGCUACAGUUCCCCCCGCACGUCUUGACUACUCACCAGCACAAGAUAUCACACAGACAUGCUUGAGCUGGCCAGGAUCCAGGAUGAUAUUUAGAAAGAAGAGAAUAAAAGCUUAAGGAUGAUCAAGUCCUCUUAAGUAAUAUUAAACAAAAGCAUACUAUUUUCCUUCUAAUUUCCUCUCAAGGCACUUCUCAUGUUAGCAAAGAAAAUGACAAGAUGAGUGUCAGCCUGUCAUAUUUUCUGAUGUAAUGUAUGGGCUAGUAGCUCAUCACAAAAUCAACCAUUUUAUAGGAACUAGAUAAGUUUCAGUGCCAAGCCUUGUUCUCAAGCAGCAGGAUGCCUGCUAAGCAGGGUCCAUAUAAGCUAGAGUUUUGAAAUUAUAGUGAUAUUUUUAUUUUAAGGCAUUCAAGAGCAAAAGCAAAUAGUGGAAGGUUCUCAUUCAUCAAAUGCAAUGACCUUAUUGUUUAGAAAAAAUAAGAUGUGACUAUUACCAAAAAUGCUAUUUUAAAAGUAUAAUCACCUUCUUUUCAGUCUGCCAUGAAAAUUCAUGGAGACCAAAAAUGAUUAAUACAUUAUUUUGUAACUUGCUACCCAAAACAGGGUGGUUUGUUUUCCAAAUUUUGUAUUCUUUGCAUAUUUAAAGUUACUUACUGAGAGUUUUCCAUGUGUAAGGAAUUGAAGGAACAAACUCACAAUCUCUGUUACAAGAUUUAAAAGAAAUUUUUGGAGGCACAUGAACAUCUGCAAUUUCAUUUGUAAAGUAUCCAAGAAUCUGUCGCCUUAGUAACAAUCAAAUGCAUUAAAUGCUAAACGCUGAUUAAAUAGAGUUGAAAAUGGAUUUGUUAGUUAUCCCUCUAAGAAUUUUAACUCCAGCCGCUAGCCCUCUCCUCCCCUUUGCAAUGCAACUAUGCCUUCAAAUAGUGUUCUUUAAAAGGAGGCUUUACGGCUUUGGAGGAAUAAGCUGAUUUCACAGCCAGUUUUGCCACUGCUGUGGAAAACAGAGUACACAUGCAAGACUGCUGAAGUCAUACAAACUGCAAGGAUUAUGGCUGUGGGGGCCUCCACAACUCCUGUCAAACUGCAAUUGGAAACAGCUUCUCCAAAGGACAACAUGAGAAAUCAGGAAUUCUUGUCCAUGGCUCCCCAACCUGCUGGGUUUCUAAUCAGGCCUGGCAUGACCCAUUAGAGAUCAGACAUAGGAAAAUCACAAUGAAACUAGGGUAUCUUCUGUUUUCCAAGCUUCACUCCCCCAGAUCCUUUUCAAGCCUGUAAUUAUUGUCUCUCACCAGUUAAUAAGGGAACCGUUUCUCCAUGGGGACAGGAGCUUCUGGAAGGCUGGACCCAAUCAUUACAGGCUCAGUCCAGGGCCUUUCCUUCACACCAACUACUGCAGCCACUCCCAGAGCCCCUGGAACUCCGGCCCAAGGCUCUCUGACUGACUCCUUCCCAGAUCUUCUCGGCUUAGCAGCUGAAGACUGACACUGCCCGAUCACCUCGGAAGCCCCCUAGACCAUCACGGACGCCGAGCUGCCAGUAACUCUCACAGUGGAAGGUAAGCCCAUCCCCUUCUUAAUCAAUACGGAGGCUACCCACUCCACAUUACCUUCUUUACAAAGGCCUGUUUCCCUUGCCUCCAUAACUGUUGUGGGUAUUGACGGCCAGGCUUCUAAAUCUCUUAAAACUCCCCAACUCUGGUGCCAACUUAGACAAUACUCUUUUAAGCACUCCUUUUUAGUUAUCCCCACCUGCCCAGUUCCCUUAUUAGGCCGAGACACUUUAACUAAAUUAUCUGCUUCCCUGACUAUUCCUGGGCUACAGCCACACCUCAUUACUGCCCUUCUUCCCAAUCCAAAGCCUCCUUUGCGUCCUCCUCUUGUAUCCCCCUACCUUAACCCACAAGUAUAAGAUACCUCUACUCCCUCCUUGGUGACCGAUCAUGCACCCCUUACCAUCUCAUUGAAACCUAAUCACCCUUACCCCGCUCAACGCCAAUAUCCCAUCCCACAGCAUGCUUUGAAAAGACUAAAGCCUGUUAUCACUCUCCUGCUACAGCAUGGCCUUUUAAAGCCUAUAAACUCUCCUUACAAUUCCCCCAUUUCACUUGUCCUAAAACCAGACAAGCCUUACAAGUUAGUUCAGGAUCUAUGCCUUAUCAACCACAUUGUUUUGCCUAUCCACCCCAUGGUGUCAAACCCAUAUACUCUCCUAUCCUCAAUACCUCACUCCAUAAUCCAUUAUUGUGUUCUGGAUCUCAAACAUGCUUUCUUUACUAUUCCUUUGCACCCUUCAUCCCAGCCUCUUUUCACUUUCACUUGGACUGACCCUGACACCCAUCAGGCUCAGCAAAUUACCUGGGCUGUACUGCCCCAAAGCUUCACAGACAGCCCCCA
rnacentral:lncRNA from 10 species